AUAUCUUCAUUCUUUAUAUUAAAGUUGUUGCAUCAUGUUUAAGAAAGGAAUUCUUUUGUUGAUAGAACAGAUGAGUAAAACUUUAAACAGAAAUGGGAGAAUAUUUGCUAUGGAAGUAAGCUAAUGAUGGGUAUUUGGCUUUGAGUCUGAUUUUUUGGCUGAAGAAGCAUCGAGGAGACAAAAGUCUUGGAAUUAUAUACAAAAGUGAAUAAAGUGAGUUUGGGGGGAACAAAAGCUUGAAGGGC
rnacentral:lncRNA from 1 species